rnacentral:rRNA from 1 species
CACGUAGGGGGCAAGCGUUGUCCGGAAUCAUUGGGCGUAAAGAGCGUGUAGGCGGCCAGAUAAGUCCGCUGUGAAAUCUCGAAGGCUCAACUUCGAGCUGUCGGUGGAAACUGUCUGGCUAGAGUCCGGAAGAGGAGAAUGGAAUUCCUGGUGUAGCGGUGAAAUGCGCAGAUAUCAGGAAGAACACCCGUGGCGAAGGCGGUUCUCUGGGACGGUACUGACGCUGAGACGCGAAAGCGUGGGGAGCGAACAGG